UACGUCGGGUGCAAGCGUUAAUCGGAAUUACUGGGCGUAAAGCGUGCGCAGGCGGCUUUGCAAGACAGAUGUGAAAUCCCCGGGCUUAACCUGGGAACUGCAUUUGUGACUGCAUGGCUGGAGUGCGGCAGAGGGGGAUGGAAUUCCGCGUGUAGCAGUGAAAUGCGUAGAUAUGCGGAGGAACACCGAUGGCGAAGGCAAUCCCCUGGGCCUGCACUGACGCUCAUGCACGAAAGCGUGGGGAGCAAACAGG
rnacentral:rRNA from 1 species